UUGCAGUCACCGGCAGCCGCCUGUGGCCCGGAGCACCCACGGAGCUCUGCCAGGCCAGCACGGCUGGACAUGAGACUGAGGCUCCUGGUUCUUCCCCCAGCAGCCCGAGGCUGAGCUGGGAAACAUUCUCCUUCCUUGUCUUUCUGUUCUUCAUAGGAAGGAGGGCAAGAAGCUGGGCUCCUGGGAACGAAGAGACAUUUCUGUGCCACACUUUGAAGCAGGAUGAUCUUCCAACCCCUCAGUGCCCAGGGAACAGAGGCCAUUUGAGUUCCAUGGUGUUGUUUGGAGAAGGAUGACUCCUGCUGUGCUGUUUUUUAAGAGCUUCCAAGGAUUUGCUUGAGCUCAUUCUUCCAUCAAAGAGAAGAGCAAAAUGAAUGUUUUGGAGGUGGAGGAAGAUGGAGGAAACAGAAGAGGGAAAAGCUGCAGUAAUAUCUGGGAUCUUUUUGGAGUUUGGUGGAUUUUUUUGCUCACAUCCAGCCAUAACAGGAAGGAGUGAGAACUUCCCACCUCUCCCGUGAGACAACUGGGUUAUCACUGGUGCCUUCCUUGCUUGGCAUCUGUGAAAGUCCUGAAAGAAUGAUGUCAAGCUGAAGGUGCUCCCUUUACUUGUGAUUUAUUAACUGCAGCUGAACUAUUUAAAUAGCAUUGUAAAAACAAAUGUAAACCCUGAAUGCUUCUGUUAGGGUUAACAAUCCCCAGUUUUAUUCUUCUUUUGGCUGCUGGAUUUGGGCGCUACUCCUCACUCCAGACUGACAGCAAACACUGAUCCUGCCAUUUUCCUGGAGACAUUUGCAGGUCUGCACAGUUGCAGCUGGAAAACAGCCCUUCUCCUAUCUUGUUUCCAUUUAGACAUUGCACCCACGGCCAGAACCUAAUAGUGGAUGUCUCCAACUUCUGCCAAGAGCCUGGUCUGCUCCAACUUCAAAAGGUGCUGAAAGGACACCGCCAGCGAGUGACAGAUUCUCAGCUGACAACAGCUCUGUUCAAACCAAAGGAAUUCUUUGCAGUGGGAUCCAAAGGACAGCACAUUCAUUUGCUAAACUCCUAAUUUUUUUUGUUGUGGCAUGUAACUUCAAGACUUGGCUGACUUUUAAACAUGAUAUAAUUAAGCAUGCCUGAAAAUGCAUUUGCAAAAAAAAAAAAAAAAAGAGAGACACAAAAGUAGAAGUACUUUAUAAUCCACAGUGUUAAGUCUCUUCAAAAUUCCUUGGAUAGUUACACUGCUGCUUUAGUCGGGGUGACACAGCACAGUCCUAAUACCUAAUCCCAAGUGACUCUUCACACAGUGACUCAGUUACCAGAGCUGUUUGGCUCCUAUCUGGUUAUCUUUAAUACCUUGAUCCAUACAUCUUCUGUCUGCUUUUCCAGGAGGGUUAUUCCACUGAUUUUCAAGACUACAAAAUAGGCAAAUCCUUAUUCUACAUCUAUUUAUUAAUCCUAAAAAUAUUUGACAUCUUUUUUCAACCCAGCUGUAUUUCCUUGUCCAUGAUGUCCUGAUUGAACAAUUGCAGAAGAAAAAAAUCUUUUCUUGAAUUGCUUCUAAAAUUUUUUUUGACAAGCUAAGAAACUCUAGAUUUCCAUUUUCAUUGGUGGUCGAAGGAAAUAACAGCAGUCAGAUAUGUAUUUCAAGUGUAUUUAUUCCAAAUAUGUCUAUUUGGGAGUAAUGUUAAGACUUGCAUAAUUUUUUAUAUAACAAGCCUUACACAUCUCUAAAAACAAGGAAACUCACCUGAACAACUUUGAAAUUUGUCCUUCAGAGUGAAAAGAAAUAAGAGGUGGGGAGUGAAUUCAUAGUUGAAUGAACCAUCAAAUCCUGAGAGCCCUUGGGCUGAAGCAUAGUGUGGAUUUGACAGAAAUCCUGAUUUUUUUUGAACCUAUGGGUGGGAGGUUUGUGGAAGGACAAAGCAUCUUCUGUGUUGAGAGCUCUUUGGACAUGUCCCCACAGGAUUUACCUCAGCAAGGAUGGAGCUUGUUCUGAGGCAGAAUUGGAUGAACUGGUGAAAACUUCACUAAACCAAGUGUUCCAGGUUUCAGCAGAGCUUAAGUGAAGGCUAAAAGGAUCUAAGUUUUACCUGACAAGAAAAAGAUUAUUGCUAUCAGUAAAGAUGCAAUUCAUUUACAGUUUUAUUUGGCAACAUAUGGGCUGGUAGAGACCAGUGAGACUAAUCCAAAUUAUAUCUCAAAGACUUUUCAUAUUCCUGCUCGAAAUUUUUAACAAAAAGGAAACAAUGCUAUGAGGAAAAAAGGUCUCCCCUAAAAACUAUUUGGUGAAAUCAUCUUGUAAUUUAGAAAAAGAGAAAAUAUUUGAAUGGGAAGGCUGGGACCUCCUGGGUUAAUGCUGUGGGCCUUUCUGGUUGGAGAGAAAAAAUGGUUUUAUAGAAUUAAUCUCGGCUGUAUGAAUUGGUAAAAUGUAUUGAUUGAUCAAAAAUGACCCAAAUCAAACAAUGUACUUUUCAAUGUCAUCAAAUGCAAGAUCAAAUAGCAAGAAAGACUCGGAAGCAAUGAUGGACUCCAGAAGGUUAUAAUUUAGAUAUAUCUUUCUGAAAGGAAGCAGUGAAUUUGAAGGGAUUUUUGAAUUUGAAGGGAUUUUUUGUGUCCUUCCUUUUGCUGUUCCCAGACAUGGAGGGUUUUGUGACACCUGGCAGAGCAAUUUAGAGCAAAUAAGGGUUAUUCUCUCCCCUAAUGGAGCUGGGAUGGUCCUUGUUGGACGGCAGGACUCAGACAUGGCCUACACACACUGUGAGGGGGCAUAAGUGCAUCAAAAGCUGUGGGUUCAGCAAACACCUGCAAAUUUAAUGGAAUCAGGAGACCAAAAGUAAGCUCUAGAGAGUAAUUUAACUGUGGAAUCUCAAUGUCAACACCUGCACCAGGUGCUUGAGGUAGCUUUGCUCUGAUAGACCCAGCACUUCCCACUGAACUCCUAGCACAGAGAGCUCCUAACGGGAGCACUUGGUGGGGCUGAAGUUUGAUAAAUUUCCAAGGAAAAUAAGAUGCUGACAGUGAGAGCAAUUAAUGCUGGAGCAGCCUCUCCUGAGUCCCUCAGGACUGUUUGCCUCUUUAUUCAUGACAAAAGGGCUCUCUGAAAGGUUCCCUCCUGUUCAGCCACUGCCAUGGAUCAGGCUCCAGCUCUCUGAAGGAAGUGGAAAUCCUUCUACUGCUACACUUGGGAGGUGAAACUCUGUGGUCCCCAUGGCCAGCACAGCCUUCUCCAGGCUUGGCUCCCCCUUACUUCAGGUAACGCAUUCAGGCACAAACCCACAUCCCUCUUCACAAAUGCCUUUGGCACAGCUGCUUCCCUGGAACCAGGAAGGAAAAUCUCAUUAAGCCACUGUGAUCUAAUGAAAAAGGAUAUCCCAGAUCCACCAGAAUGCCUGGGCACAAGGUGUCCCUGCUGCAUUUUAAAACAGGAAUAACACAAGGGGGUUGUAAUGCCCUGAGAGUGUGAACACCCUGGGGUGUUUAUUGGGAUUGGAAACUUGUCUCCAGCCAGGAGAAGAUACACCCAGCCAUGGAAUGUCAUAGUCUUCCAACACUUUUACACUCACUGUGCCUCAGCCUGGCUUUAAGACAAGUUUUAAGUUCCUUUUCUAAAACUGGAGGGGUUUUCCUGCCUUUGGGAUGAAUUCUGCUGAAGAUAAUAGAAGCAGAUUUCACUUUCUGACCUUAAUCCUUCUGUCUCUUCCUGGCAGCUGGAGCAGGUUGUACACAGGUGCUGGCAGAAGGAACCCUUGGCCAUGACAAAACAGGCACAAGGUGUGAAAGGUGCCAAGAAUAAGGCAUCUAUAUAUGAUAACAACUUGUUAGUACUUUCUUUACAAUCAUUUCACUCCCCUCUUCCCCUCACUCAUCUCCUCUUUUACAUUUAUUUUGCUUUUUCUCUUUCUACUUCUCUCUCCCAGUCUCGUUUUCCCUUCCUUCUAUUCUGUCUUGCAUGUAUCAGCCUUUCCUGCCACAAAUCAACCCUAUUAGAAGCUCCAAAGGGAUUCUUUGCAAUGGCUUCCCUUUGUGAACUCUGCCUUUUUUUUUUCUUUUUAAUCUGCAGUGUUCCACAUUACAUUGCCAUUGAUUUAAUAGACCACCAUGAAUUUUACUGCCUGUCAAACAACAGCACAAUUAUUUUGAAUUCUAUUGUGGCAGAGCUUGACACCCAGCUCUGGAUCACCUUACACUUUUCACCCUUGCUAGAGUGCACUUGAAAAUCCGGGAAAAUGUUAUGUAUGAUUCCAGGAUGGCAUUUUGUGGCAUUGUUUUAAUUCAGCAUUUCGGGGAUUGAAUGAUUUGGCAGCCGAUGGAUAAAGACUCCCACUUACCUGAUCUGGAAAUGACACAUGGAAUGUGGAAGUUAUUACAGGGUGUUAAAAACCCAAACCAAUGCCAUUCUCCCCUCUCACUGCUCCCAGCCCUGAAUAAGCAAGAUGGGAAGAAGCCCCAUCGUUACUGUUGGUUCAUUGGGCAUGGGCUGAUCCCAAAAGCUUCCCAAGCAGGAUGCUGAGUCCUCCCUUGCUGGGCAUUAAUGGGUUGCACUGUGUGGAAAAGAGGCUGGAUCCAUGUGCCUGGAGGCAUGUUCCCCAUGGAGAGGCAAAAACUGUCUUUGAGUACUUUGAGAGCUGAUGUUGGCACCCACCAGUGUGCAGCAGAUUUCUGACAUGGAACGAGUGGAUUACGAGCUGUAUCCAAAUAAAGAAAGGAUUGGUUCAUUCAGGAUGAAUCAACUCUUUGUAUCCCUGUUUAAAGAGCUCUUUCUAUCUUGCAUGGCCAGGAUAAAUUGUUUUCCUGAUGACAGGGAUAACAGGUUGGGUCUGUGUUGUCCUAGGAGCUGCACAUGCAGAAAAGCUCCAACUCUGACAGUGAAUAUGCUAAGGAAUGACAUCCUGUGAAUAUAUUAAGGAAUAGAAGCAGGUUUGUUGUUGAAAGUUUGGACUCAGAAGAAUAAAUGGCUUACCAAGGGCAAGAGUGAGUCUGAGUUGCGCCUGGGACCUGUUUUUAGUGUUCUAAAAUUUUAUUCCAAGAUGUUUUCCCAUCCCUGCUGAACAUGGUCCUUCCCACAAAGAAAUGUCCUCCUCAGGGUCUGAGGCAGAUGGAUUUG